rnacentral:rRNA from 1 species
AAACUUUGUGAUCUACCCUUGGUCAGGAUGAAGUUCCGGUAACACGGGAUGGAGGUCCGAACUAGUAAACGUUGAAAAGUUUUUGGAUGAACUGAGGGUAGGGGUGAAAGGCUAAUCAAACUGAGAAAUAGCUCGUACUCCCCGAAAUGUUUUUAGGAACAGUGUGGAGGUUGAGUUUGUUAGAGGUAGAGCUACCAAUUGGACUAGGGGGAGUCACAUCCUACCAAAUCCAGAUGAACUCCGAAUGCUAACAAAUAUACUCUGCAAUGAGGGCGCGGGUGCUAAGGUCCGUGUCCGAGAGGGAAAGAACCCAGACCUGCAGCUAAGGUCCCAAAAUCUAUACUAAGUUGAACUAAGGUGGUUCAGUUGCUGAGACAGCCAGGAGGUUAGCUUGGAAGCAGCUAUUCCUUUAAAGAGUGCGUAACAGCUCACUGGUCGAGCGACAGAGCAUCGAUAAUAAUCGGGCAUCAAGUAUAGUACCGAAGCUCAGGAUAUGUAGCAAUACAUGUGGUAGGGGAGCAUUCUAACAUCGGCGAAGCCAAGGGGUCACCUGAGGUGGAGAGGUUAGAAAAGCAAAUGUAGGCAUAAGUAACGAUAAGGCAGGUGAGAACCCUGCCCACCGAAAGACUAAGGUUUCCGCGGCAAUGUCAAUCAGCCGCGGGUAAGUCGGGUCCUAAGGCGCACCCGAAAGGGCAAGUCGAUGGACAACUGGUUAAUAUUCCAGUACCGGCUGCAAGAGCGAUGUGGAGAAGGAGUAGUGAAAGUUCCGCGCACAGACGAAAGGGCGUUUAAGGACGUAGGUAUAUCUUAUACAGGCAAGUCCGUAUUUGAUGCUGAAAUCUGAAAGUACAGGAUGGCUUCGUCCAGAAUGAGUGAAUGUAAACAGACUUCCAAGAAAAUCCGCUAAGCAUAUUUUGCAGCUGCCCGUACCGCAAACCGACACAGGUAGUCGAGAAGAAUAUUCUAAGGUGCUCGAGAGAUUCAUGGCUAAGGAACUCGGCAAAAUAAACCUGUAACUUCGGGAGAAGGGUUGCCUCCUCUAGCAAUAGAGAGGUCGCAGAGAAAUGGCCCAGGCGACUGUUUAACAAAAACACAUGGCUAUGCGAAAUCGCAAGAUGAAGUAUAUGGCCUGACACCUGCCCGGUGCUGGAAGGUUAAGGGGGGAAGUUAGCAGCAAUGCGACGCUUUGAACUGAAGCCCCAGUAAACGGCGGCCGUAACUAUAACGGUCCUAAGGUAGCGAAAUUCCUUGUCGGGUAAGUUCCGACCUGCACGAAUGGUGUAACGAUCUGGGCGCUGUCUCAGCCAUGAGCUCGGUGAAAUUGUAGUAACGGUGAAGAUGCCGUUUACCCGUCACGGGACGGAAAGACCCCAUGAACCUUUACUAUAGCUUCACAUUGAUAUUGGGAAGAUGAUGAG